rnacentral:tRNA from 1 species
GGAGGGAUCGCAUAGAGGCCUAGUGCGGCCGCCUGCUAAGCGGUUGCCCGCUGAAAGGUGGGUCAUGGGUUCGAAUCCCAUUCCCUCCGCCA